CACGUAGGGCGCAAGCGUUGUCCGGAAUUAUUGGGCGUAAAGAGCUCGUAGGCGGUCUGUUACGUCUGCUGUGAAAACCCAGGGCUUAACCCUGGGCUUGCAGUGGAUACGGGCAGACUAGAGGCAGGUAGGGGAGAAUGGAAUUCCCGGUGUAGCGGUGAAAUGCGCAGAUAUCGGGAGGAACACCGGUGGCGAAGGCGGUUCUCUGGGCCUGACCUGACGCUGAGGAGCGAAAGCGUGGGGGAGCGAACAGG
rnacentral:rRNA from 1 species